rnacentral:rRNA from 1 species
GGAAUUACUGGGCUUAAAGAGCACGUAGGUGGUUAAGAAAGUUGGUGGUGAAAUCCCAAGGCUUAACCUUGGAACUGCCACCAAAACUUUUUAACUAGAGUAUGAUUGAGGUAAGCGGAAUUUCUAGUGUAGAGGUGAAAUUCGUAGAUAUUAGAAAGAACACCAAUUGCGAAGGCAGCUUUCUGGAUCAUUACUGACACUGAGGUGCGAAAGCAUGGGUAGCGAAGAGGAUUAGAUACCCUCGUAGUCCAUGCCGUAAACGAUGUGUGUUAGACGUUGGGAAUUUAUUUUUCAGUGUCGCAGCAAAAGCGUUAAGCACACCGCCUGGGGAGUACGACCGCAAGGUUAAAACUCAAAUGAAUUGACGGGGACCCGCACAAGUAGUGGAGCAUGUGGUUUAAUUCGAAGAUACGCGCAGAACCUUACCAACACUUGACAUGUUCGUCGCGACUCUAAGAGAUUAGAGUUUUCGGUUCGGCCGGACGAAACACAGGUGCUGCAUGGCUGUCGUCAGCUCGUGUCGUGAGAUGUUGGGUUAAGUCCCGCAACGAGCGCAACCCUUACUUUUAGUUGCUACCAUUUAGUUGGGCACUCUAGAAGAACUGCCGGUGAUAAGCUGGAGGAAGGUGGGGAUGACGUCAAGUUCUCAUGGCCCUUAUGUGUUGGGCUACACACGUGCUACAAUGGUAUUUACAGUGGGAUGCAAAGAGGCAACUCCUAGCCAACCCUCAAAGAAUACCUCAGUUCGGAUUGUACUCUGCAACUCGAGUACAUGAAGCUGGAAUUACUAGUAAUCGCAGAUCAGCGCGCCGCGGUGAAUACGUUCCCGGGUCUUGUACACACCGCCCGUCACACCAUGGAAGUUGGUUACACCUUAAGGCAAAGUGUAAAAC